rnacentral:rRNA from 1 species
AUUGAACGCUGGCGGCAGGCCUAACACAUGCAAGUCGAACGAGUGGCGGACGGGUGAGUAAUGUCUGGGAAACUGCCUGAUGGAGGGGGAUAACUACUGGAAACGGUAGCUAAUACCGCAUAACAUCAGCUGUGCCCAUAUGGGAUUAGCUUGUUGGUGGGGUACAGGCGCAACAAGGCGACGAUCCCUAGCUGGGGUGAGAGGAUGACCAGCCAAACUGGAACGGAGACAAGGUCCAGACUCCUACGGGAGGCAGCAGUGGGGAAUAUUGCACAAUGGGCGAAAGCCUGAUGCAGCCAUGCCGCGUGUAUGAAGAAGGCCUUCGGGUUGUAAAGUACUUUCAGCGGGGAGGCGUUACCCGCAGAAGAAGCACCGGCUAACUCCGUGCCAGCAGCCGCGGUAAUUC